GGGUGACUGCGUACCUUUUGUAUAAUGGGUCAGCGACUUAUAUUCUGUAGCAAGGUUAACCGUAUAGGGGAGCCGCAGGGAAACCGAGUCUUAACUGGGCGUUAAGUUGCAGGGUAUAGACCCGAAACCCGGUGAUCUAGCCAUGGGCAGGUUGAAGGUUGGGUAACACUAACUGGAGGACCGAACCGACUAAUGUUGAAAAAUUAGCGGAUGACUUGUGGCUGGGGGUGAAAGGCCAAUCAAACCGGGAGAUAGCUGGUUCUCCCCGAAAGCUAUUUAGGUAGCGCCUCGUGAAUUCAUCUUCGGGGGUAGAGCACUGUUUCGGCUAGGGGGUCAUCCCGACUUACCAACCCGAUGCAAACUACGAAUACCGAAGAAUGUUAUCACGGGAGACACACGGCGGGUGCUAACGUCCGUCGUGAAGAGGGAAACAACCCAGACCGCCAGCUAAGGUCCCAAAGUCAUGGUUAAGUGGGAAACGAUGUGGGAAGGCCCAGACAGCCAGGAUGUUGGCUUAGAAGCAGCCAUCAUUUAAAGAAAGCGUAAUAGCUCACUGGUCGAGUCGGCCUGCGCGGAAGAUGUAACGGGGCUAAACCAUGCACCGAAGCUGCGGCAGCGACACUAUGUGUUGUUGGGUAGGGGAGCGUUCUGUAAGCCGUUGAAGGUGGCCUGUGAGGGUUGCUGGAGGUAUCAGAAGUGCGAAUGCUGACAUAAGUAACGAUAAUGCGGGUGAAAAACCCGCACGCCGGAAGACCAAGGGUUCCUGUCCAACGUUAAUCGGGGCAGGGUGAGUCGACCCCUAAGGCGAGGCCGAAAGGCGUAGUCGAUGGGAAACAGGUUAAUAUUCCUGUACUCGGUGUUACUGCGAAGGGGGGACGGAGAAGGCUAUGUUGGCCGGGCGACGGUUGUCCCGGUUUAAGCAUGUAGGCGGAUGUUCCAGGUAAAUCCGGAACGUCACUAACGCUGAGGUGUGAUGACGAGGCACUACGGUGCUGAAGUGACAAAUGCCCUGCUUCCAGGAAAAGCCUCUAAGCAUCAGGUAACAUCAAAUCGUACCCCAAACCGACACAGGUGGUCAGGUAGAGAAUACCAAGGCGCUUGAGAGAACUCGGGUGAAGGAACUAGGCAAAAUGGUGCCGUAACUUCGGGAGAAGGCACGCUGAUGGUAAGUGAAGCGACUUGCUCGUGGAGCUGAAAUCAGUCGAAGAUACCAGCUGGCUGCAACUGUUUAUUAAAAACACAGCACUGUGCAAACACGAAAGUGGACGUAUACGGUGUGACGCCUGCCCGGUGCCGGAAGGUUAAUUGAUGGGGUUAUCCUCGCGGAGAAGCUCUUGAUCGAAGCCCCGGUAAACGGCGGCCGUAACUAUAACGGUCCUAAGGUAGCGAAAUUCCUUGUCGGGUAAGUUCCGACCUGCACGAAUGGCGUAAUGAUGGCCAGGCUGUCUCCACCCGAGACUCAGUGAAAUUGAACUCGCUGUGAAGAUGCAGUGUACCCGCGGCAAGACGGAAAGACCCCGUGAACCUUUACUAUAGCUUGACACUGAACACUGGUCCUUGAUGUGUAGGAUAGGUGGGAGGCUUUGAAGUGUGGACGCCAGUCUGCAUGGAGCCAUCCUUGAAAUACCACCCUUUAAUGGCUGGUGUUCUAACGUGGGCCCCUGAUCGGGGUUGCGGACAGUGUCUGGUGGGUAGUUUGACUGGGGCGGUCUCCUCCUAAAGAGUAACGGAGGAGCACGAAGGUCAGCUAAUCCUGGUCGGACAUCAGGAGGUUAGUGCAAUGGCAUAAGCUGGCUUGACUGCGAGCGUGACGGCGCGAGCAGGUGCGAAAGCAGGUCAUAGUGAUCCGGUGGUUCUGAAUGGAAGGGCCAUCGCUCAACGGAUAAAAGGUACUCCGGGGAUAACAGGCUGAUACCGCCCAAGAGUUCAUAUCGACGGCGGUGUUUGGCACCUCGAUGUCGGCUCAUCACAUCCUGGGGCUGAAGUAGGUCCCAAGGGUAUGGCUGUUCGCCAUUUAAAGUGGUACGCGAGCUGGGUUUAGAACGUCGUGAGACAGUUCGGUCCCUAUCUGCCGUGGGCGCUGGAGAAUUGAGGGGGGCUGCUCCUAGUACGAGAGGACCGGAGUGGACGCAUCACUGGUGUUCGGGUUGUCAUGCCAAUGGCAUUGCCCGGUAGCUAAAUGCGGAAGAGAUAAGUGCUGAAAGCAUCUAAGCACGAAACUUGCCCCGAGAUGAGUUCUCCCUGACCCUUUAAGGGUCCUGAAGGAACGUUGAAGACGACGACGUUGAUAGGCCGGGUGUGUAAGCGCAGCGAUGCGUUGAGCUAACCGGUACUAAUGAACCGUGAGGCUUAACCUU
rnacentral:rRNA from 1 species